rnacentral:rRNA from 1 species
GACGAACGCUGGCGGCGUGCUUAACACAUGCAAGUCGAACGGAAAGGCCCUGCUUUUGUGGGGUGCUCGAGUGGCGAACGGGUGAGUAACACGCGAGUACCUGCCCUUGCCUUUGGGAUCACUUCAGGAAACUGGGGCUAAUACCGGAAAGGAGCUCCUGCUGCAUGGUGGGGGUUGGAAAGUUUCGGCGGUUGGGGCUGGACUCGCGGCUCAUCAGCUUGAUGGGGGGGUAGUCGCUUACCAAGGCUUUGGCGGGCAGCCGGCCUGAGAGGGUGACCGGCCUCGCUGGGCCUGAGAUACGUCACAGACUGCACUGGCCGGCAUCGGCGGAGAUUUUUGCACAUUGGUCCGUAUCCUGAUGCAGCAACGCCGCGUGCGGGAAGACGGCCUUCUGGUAGUAGGCCGAUUUCGCCUGUGACGAGGCGUGUGUGACGUUAAUCCGUAAAGGAGCACCGGCUAGCUACGUG